UACGUAGGGUGCGAGCGUUGUCCGGAAUUAUUGGGCGUAAAGAGCUCGUAGGCGGUCUGUCGCGUCUGCUGUGAAAACCCGAGGCUCAACCUCGGGCCUGCAGUGGGUACGGGCAGACUAGAGUGCGGUAGGGGAGAAUGGAACUCCUGGUGUAGCGGUGGAAUGCGCAGAUAUUGGGAAGAACACCGGUGGCGAAGGCGGCGCUCUGGACCGAGGACUGACGCUGAGGCGCGAAAGCGUGGGGAGCC
rnacentral:rRNA from 1 species